rnacentral:lncRNA from 12 species
CCCCCCCCCCCCCCCCCCCCCCCCCCCCCCCCCCCCCCCCCGAUUUGGGAUGGAUUUGGGGAUGGGUUUAGGGAUGGAUUUGGGAUGGAUCUGGGAUGGAUUUGGGAUGGAUUUGGGGAUGGAUUUGGGAUGGAUUUGGGGAUGGAUUUGGGAUGCAUUUUGGGCUACAUUUGAGAUGUGUUUUGGGGUGGAUUUGGGAUUUAGCUUGGGAUGGAUUUGGGAUUUAUUUUGGGCUAUAUUUGGGAUUUAUUUUGGGCCACGUGUGAGAUGUGUUUUGGGAUGGAUUUGGGAUUU